rnacentral:tRNA from 1 species
GCCGAUGUGGCGAAAUGGCAGACGCAACGGACUUAAAAUCCGUUUUCGCGAAAGCGGAGUGCCGGUUCGAGUCCGGCCAUCGGCA